rnacentral:rRNA from 1 species
UGGGGAAUAUUGCACAAUGGGCGAAAGCCUGAUGCAGCAACGCCGCGUGCGGGAAGAAGGCCCUAGGGUUGUAAACCGCUUUCAGCAGGGAAGAAAAUGACGGUACCUGCAGAAGAAGGUGCGGCCAACUACGUGCCAGCAGCCGCGGUGACACGUAGGCACCAAGCGUUGUCCGGAUUUAUUGGGCGUAAAGAGCUCGUAGGCGGUUCAGUAAGUCGGGUGUGAAAACUCUGGGCUCAACCCAGAGACGCCACCCGAUACUGCUGUGACUUGAGUACGGUAGGGGAGUGGGGAAUUCCUGGUGUAGCGGUGAAAUGCGCAGAUAUCAGGAGGAACACCAGUGGCGAAGGCGCCACUCUGGGCCCGUAACUGACGCUGAGGAGCGAAAGCGUGGGGAGCAAACAGGAUUAGAUACCCAAGUAGUCCCUGAGCGGGCUGGCAAGGCGCAU